ensembl:snRNA U1 U1 spliceosomal RNA
UUAUUGACCUGGCAGGGGAAAAACCAUGAUGAAGGACACUUUCUUAUGGCAAGGUUUCUCCAUUGCACUGUGGAUGUGCUAAUCCCUGCAAUUUACCCAAAUGCAGGAAACUGGACUGCAUAUUUUGUGGUGGGGGAGGGACUGUUUUCACUCUACCUCAA